rnacentral:rRNA from 1 species
GAUGAACGCUGGCGGCGUGCUUAACACAUGCAAGUCGAACGAAGAUGCCGGAGUGCUUGCACUUUGGCAGACUGAGUGGCGGACGGGUGAGUAACGCGUGGGUAACCUGCCUUAUACAGGGGGAUAACAGUUGGAAACGACUGCUAAUACCGCAUAAGCGCACGGUAUCGCAUGAUACAGUGUGAAAAACUCCGGUGGUAUAAGAUGGACCCGCGUCUGAUUAGCUAGUUGGUGAGGUAACGGCCCACCAAGGCGACGAUCAGUAGCCGGCCUGAGAGGGUGAACGGCCACAUUGGGACUGAGACACGGCCCAAACUCCUACGGGAGGCAGCAGUGGGGAAUAUUGCACAAUGGGGGAAACCCUGAUGCAGCGACGCCGCGUGAGCGAAGAAGUAUUUCGGUAUGUAAAGCUCUAUCAGCAGGGAAGAAAAAAUGACGGUACCUGACUAAGAAGCCCCGGCUAACUACGUG